rnacentral:miRNA from 1 species
ACCCUAUCCUGCUCCGUCGCCCCAGUGUUCAGACUACCUGUUCAGGACAAUGCUGUUGUACAGUAGUCUGCACAUUGGUUAGACUGGGCAAGGGAACGCA